rnacentral:lncRNA from 1 species
AGAAUGUCUGAAUCUGCUUGGCACUGUCGUUGAAGUUGAACCAUGAAAAAAUUAGCUUUUAUAAGAGGCAGUAAUGUGCCUUUGGGAAUGUGAGCAUGAUUUGCAAAUGGGGUUGCUCUGAAUAGUUUCACAAGAGCUCUCAGCCUCUCAGGAAGGAAAAAAAAGGCCUUGUUUUUUUUUUUUUUUGGAGAAAGUGAGAGUGAAAAAAGGUCAAGGAAAUUUCUUUUCACCAUCUUUUUUUAUACGGGAA